AACGAACGCUGGCGGCAUGCCUAACACAUGCAAGUCGAGCGAGACCUUCGGGUCUAGUGGCGCACGGGUGCGUAACGCGUGGGAACCUGCCCUUAGGUUCGGAAUAACUCCCCGAAAGGGGUGCUAAUACCGGAUAAUGUCUUCGGACCAAAGAUUUAUCGCCUUUGGAUGGGCCCGCGUUGGAUUAGCUAGUUGGUAGGGUAAAAGCCUACCAAGGCGACGAUCCAUAGCUGGUCUGAGAGGAUGAUCAGCCACACUGGGACUGAGACACGGCCCAGACUCCUACGGGAGGCAGCAGUAGGGAAUAUUGGACAAUGGGCGAAAGCCUGAUCCAGCAAUGCCGCGUGAGUGAUGAAGGCCUUAGGGUUGUAAAGCUCUUUUACCCGGGAUGAUAAUGACAGUACCGGGAGAAUAAGCGCCGGCUAACUCCGUG
rnacentral:rRNA from 1 species